rfam:Tetranychus urticae London genomic scaffold, scaffold_11
GUAGGUUAUGGUGACUGAGACCCAUUGGAGUUAUGGGUAAAAUUGUUGGAUCUCUUGUGCAAUGGCCGGUGUAUUGACCACUGCUCUCCCAGUUCCAGUUAUUGUUUCCAAU